GUGAUGCCAAGGGCCCCUUUCGCUCAUCUCUCCUAAAGGCCCACCCAUUGGUGCCCCGGGGCGGAGGAGUCGGAGGCAGAAGGUAUCUGGACGAUGUCAGCGUUUUGACACAGCCUCAACGCGUGCCGUGCUGACAGAAUCGAGCUUUGUGCGAUAAGACGAGCGGGCUGCUGAACCGGUCCCGCCCAGCUCCGCCGACACCUGCUGCAGCACCGACACAGGCACCAAAUCAGAGAGCGUUUAGGAUGGAUGAGGAUCACCAGGGCCCCGCCGCCACUCCAAAGGACGAAGGUGACGGGAGGAGGGGUCUCGGUAUUCGGCGACCACGGCUGCUUCCUGACACAAAUGUGUCAUCGGGAGUCUUUCAGAUCGCAGUCAAACGCGCCUCGGGUGAUUCAUGGGAGGAAACGUGAUGAUGAGUCAUACGGGAGAAAUAUAACCAACCGCAAAGAAAUUCGCGGAAGAGGUUUGAAUUUGACACAGUGGUGUAAAAUAAAAAGGAUAAAAGAAAAAGACUGUUACACUUAAAAACUUGAAGUGAAGACAAUGUAACGUCUAUUAAAGUUUUAUUGCUCAUUGGCAACCAAGCAGGCACCAAAUGCAGUGAAGAAAACAGGAAAUAUCGAAGCACUUGGAGAUUCCUUAAAGCAAACAACCAUCCUGGCUGAUCGGCCAUGGCUUAGUGAGUGAUGGGACAUUGACCUCUGACCUGAGGAAGUCAUUUAGAUGAAGAGGCACUGAAGGUCUGAUUCAUGGUCAGAGAAUCAGCCCCAUCUCCAUGGAUCCAGGGAUGCCAGCAGUGAGGAUGGACAGGUAAUUGGGGAGGAGGGGUGGAGCCGCGGUUCUGAUCCCAAUCUGCCAAUUUUCUGUCUGACAGGCAGUCUGCUGCCAA